GGGGUUGACUGGAUUUGACAGCGGGCCGAAAUGGUAUGUAAGCAUGCGGAGCGUGGUCUGUUGGCUCCAUAAUCCCAAUGGUCAAAAAUUUAAUUGGCGAAAACAAUUACGCUCUCGCUGCCUAAUCGAAGAACAGUAGAUUACUGGCUUUAUUCCGUCACAAGGUGAUGGAACGAGACACUGCUCCAAGGAUGUUGUUCCGAAUCUGAGGGUUCAGCGGUGCAGGUAAAUCGGAAAUAGCCAUGGUGUGCCUCGUCGCCCUGGUGAAAUUUUAGAGGAUAAGGUUGCGAUUGGUGGUCUGGGUCUUGUCGCGACACGAAAACCGAAGGCCAGAAUAAGCAUGUAGAAAGCGUAUGGUUUCCCCGUUUGGACGAGGGUUCGAAUCCCUCCAGCUCCACC
rnacentral:tmRNA from 1 species